GAUGAGUCCGCGGCCCAUCAGCUAGUUGGCGGUGUAAUAGACCACCAAGGCUAAGACGGGUAGCUGGUCUGAGAGGAUGAUCAGCCACACUGGAACUGAGACACGGUCCAGACUCCUACGGGAGGCAGCAGUGGGGAAUAUUGGGCAAUGGGCGCAAGUCUGACCCAGCCAUGCCGCGUGAGUGAUGAAGGCCUUCGGGUCGUAAAGCUCUGUGGGGAGGGAAGAAACCGCUUGCCGAUAAUACCGGCGAGUCUUGACGGUACCUCCUUAGCAAGCACCGGCUAACUCCGUGCCAGCAGCCGCGGUAAUACGGAGGGUGCAAACGUUGCUCGGAAUCAUUGGGCGUAAAGCGCACGUAGGCGGCCUGUUAAGUCGGGUGUGAAAGCCCUGGGCUCAACCCAGGAAGUGCACUCGAAACUGGCGGGCUUGAAUAUGGAAGAGGGUCGCGGAAUUCCCGGUGUAGAGGUGAAAUUCGUAGAUAUCGGGAGG
rnacentral:rRNA from 1 species